UUGUCUGUGAUAACCUCGUGCCGAUCGCACGUCCCUGUGAUGGCGACAACGCAUUUGGAUGUCUUUCCUAUGAACUUUCGAUACAAUUUUCUGUGCCUACCAUGGUGACAAUGGGUAACGGGGAAUCAGGGUUCGAUUCUAGAGAGGGAGCCUGAAAAAUGGCUACCACAUGCAAGAAAGGCAGCAGGCGCGCAAAUUACCCACUCCCAACGCGCGGAUGUAGAGAUGACAAAUAACAAUACACUACUCUUUCGAACCCCUGUAAUUGUAAUGAGUCCACUUUAAAUCCUUUAACUUGGAUCAAUUGGAGGGCAAGUCUGGUGCAGAGUGACUGACCUAUGCGUGCUGCAGCUGAAACUCCACUAUCGCCUGCUUCUG